rnacentral:rRNA from 1 species
UACGGGGGUGGCGAGCGUUACUCGGAUUUAUUGGGUGUAAAGGGCAGGUAGGUGUCUCUGCAAGUUUCGGGUGAAAUCCUGCGGCUCAACCGCAGAACUGCCUGAAAAACUGCAGAGAUUGAGGCUGGAAGAGGAGAGCGGAAUUCCCGGUGUAAGGGUGAAAUCUGUAGAGAUCGGGAGGAACACCAGUGGCGAAAGCGGCUCUCUGGUCCAGCCCUGACGCUGAACUGCGAAAGCUAGGGGAG